rnacentral:rRNA from 1 species
GCUCAGGAUGAACGCUAGCGGCAGGCUUAACACAUGCAAGUCGAGGGGCAGCGCGUUGUAGCAAUACGAUGGCGGCGACCGGCGGAAGGGUGCGUAACACGUGAGCAACUUGCCCGCAACUGGGGGAUAAGCGCUGGAAACGGUGUCUAAUAUCCCAUAACAUAUUGUACCGCAUGAUACGAUAUUGAAAAUUCCGAUGGUUGCGGAUGGGCUCGCGGGGCAUUAGGUAGACGGCGGGGUAACGGCCCACCGUGCCGACGAUGUCUAGGGGUUCUGAGAGGAAGAUCCCCCACACUGGGACUGAGACACGGCCCAGACUCCUACGGGAGGCAGCAGUGAGGAAUAUUGGACAAUGGGGCAACCCUGAUCCAGCCAUGCCGCGUGCGGGACUAAGGCCCUAUGGGUCGUAAACCGCUUUUGUUGGGGAGCAAUAAGGUGUACGUGUACACCGAUGAGAGUACCUGGCGAAUAAGCAUCGGCUAACUCCGUGCC